rnacentral:rRNA from 1 species
AGAUUGAACGCUGGCGGCAGGCCUAACACAUGCAAGUCGAGCGGCAGCACGGGUACUUGUACCUGGUGGCGAGCGGCGGACGGGUGAGUAAUGCCUAGGAAUCUGCCUGGUAGUGGGGGAUAACGCUCGGAAACGGACGCUAAUACCGCAUACGUCCUACGGGAGAAAGCAGGGGACCUUCGGGCCUUGCGCUAUCAGAUGAGCCUAGGUCGGAUUAGCUAGUUGGUGAGUAAUGGCUACACCAAGGCGAACGAUCCGUAACUGGUCUGGGAGAUGAUCAGUCACAUGGACUGAGACACGGUCAGACCUCCGUACGGGAGCAGCAGGUGGGAAUAGUUAGGACAAGUGGGGCGAAAGGUCCUAGG